CGAUGGGAAACAGGUUAAUAUUCCUGUACUUGGUGUUACUGCGAAGGGGGGACGGAGAAGGCUAUGUUGGCCGGGCGACGGUUGUCCCGGUUUAAGCGUGUAGGCUGGUUUUCCAGGCAAAUCCGGAAAAUCAAGGCUGAGGCGUGAUGACGAGGCACUACGGUGCUGAAGCAACAAAUGCCCUGCUUCCAGGAAAAGCCUCUAAGCAUCAGGUAACAUCAAAUCGUACCCCAAACCGACACAGGUGGUCAGGUAGAGAAUACCAAGGCGCUUGAGAGAACUCGGGUGAAGGAACUAGGCAAAAUGGUGCCGUAACUUCGGGAGAAGGCACGC
rnacentral:rRNA from 1 species